UCACUAGUUUUUUAAUUGAAAGCUUGUAUGAAUGGUUUGAUGAGAAAAUAACUUUCUAUGUUUAAUUUAAAGAAUUUUAUUUUUAAGUUAAAAAGCUUAAAUUUUUUUAAUAGACGAGAAGACCCUAUAGAGUUUAAUUUUUUUUAAUUUAAUUAAAAUUUUUGGAAUUUUAAAAUUUUAAUUUUUAAAAAAAAUUUGAUUGGGGUGAUUGAAAAAUUAAAGAAACUUUUUUUUUAAAAAAACAUUAAUUUAUGAUUAAUUGAUCCAUAAAAAUGAUUAAAAGAAUAAAUUACCUUAGGGAUAACAGCGUUAUUUUUUUUUAGAGUUCAAAUCGAAAGAAAAGAUUGCGACCUCGAUGUUGGAUUAAAGUUAAUUUUAGGUGUAGAGGCUUAAA
rnacentral:rRNA from 1 species